UGGUCCUAGCCUUAUAAUCAGCUUUUAUUUGAUUUAUACAUGCAAGUAUCCGCACCCCUGUGAGGACGCCCUUAGCUUUCUUCUAGAAGCAAGGAGCUGGUUUCAGGCACAAUUUUUAGCCCAAGACACCUAGCCAUGCCACAUCCACAAGGAAACUCAGCAGUAAUUAAUAUUGAAUAUGAGCGUCAGCUUGACUCAGUCAAAAUAAAAAGAGCCGGCAAAUAUGGUGCCAGCCGCCGCGGUUACACCAUGGGCUCAAGUUGAUUAUAUUCGGCGUAAAGCGUGAUUUAAAUUCUUUAUACACUAUAGUUAAAUUUUUAUUAAGCUGUAACACGCUUGUUAAUAAGAAACUCAAAAACGAAAGUUACUAUAAUACUGUCAACUUGAAUUCACGACAACUAGGGUACAAACUGGGAUUAGAUACCUCACUAUGCCUAGUCGUAAACUUUUAAUUACAUCCGUAUCGCCAGGGAACUACGAGCAAAGCUUAAAACCCAAAGGACUUGACGGUGCCCCAUACCCAUCUAGAGGAGCCUGUCCUGUAAUCGAUGACCCCCGUUAAACCUCACCAUUUCUAGCUUUUUCAGCCUGUAUACCUCCGUCGUCAGCUUACCUCGUGAGUGUGAUCCAGUAAGCGCAAUGUCAAAAACAAUACGUCAGGUCAAGGUGCAGCAAAUGAAGUGGGAAGAGAUGGGCUACACUCUCUAUUCUAGAGUAAACGAAAAACUAUUUAUGAAACUUAGUUGGAAGGUGGAUUUAGUAGUAAAAAGAGAUCAUAGAGCUCUUUUUAAUAAGGCGCUGGGGUGUGUACACACCGCCCGUCACCCUCUUCGAAGCAAAACUUACAGUACUUAACUAAAUUAGCACCAGAGAAGAGGCAAGUCGUAACAUGGUAAGCUUACCGGAAGGUGUGCUUGGAAA
rnacentral:ncRNA from 1 species